AGAGUUUGAUCAUGGCUCAGAUUGAACGCUGGCGGUAGGCUUAACACAUGCAAGUCGUGCGAGAAAGUAUCUUCGGAUAUGAGUAGAGCGGCGGACGGGUGAGUAACGCGUAGGAAUCUACCUAGUAGAAGGGGAUAGCCCGGGGAAACCCGGAUUAAUACCGUAUACCUCCUUCGGGAGAAAGAAGGCCUCUCUUUGAAGCUUUCGCUAUUAGAUGAGCCUGCGUAAGAUUAGCUUGUUGGUGAGGUAAAGGCUCACCAAGGCGACGAUCUUUAGCUGGUCUGAGAGGACGAUCAGCCACAUUGGGACUGAGACACGGCCCAGACUCCUACGGGAGGCAGCAGUGGGGAAUAUUGGACAAUGGGCGCAAGCCUGAUCCAGCCAUACCGCGUGUGUGAAGAAGGCCUUCGGGUUGUAAAGCACUUUAAGCAGGGAGAAAAAGUUAUAAGUUAAUACCUUAUAACCGUGAUGUUACCUGCAGAAUAAGCACCGGCUAAUUCCGUGCCAGCAGCCGCGGUAAUACGGAAGGUGCAAGCGUUAAUCGGAAUUACUGGGCGUAAAGCGCGCGUAGGUGGUUUGUUAAGUUGGAUGUGAAAGCCCUGGGCUCAACCUAGGAACUGCAUCCAAAACUAACUCACUAGAGUACGAUAGAGGGAGGUAGAAUUCAUAGUGUAGCGGUGGAAUGCGUAGAUAUUAUGAAGAAUAC
rnacentral:rRNA from 1 species